ensembl:lncRNA
GGCAGAAAAGUAUGAAAAAGCAUAAAACACCCAAGAGCAGCUUGGUAUACUCAGCCAUUCAUCAGACCGCGUUAUUCUUACCCAGAAAAUUACAAACAACUUACAAAUGCAGCAACUUGAACCACAAAUUGCAGACUGAGCAGUGACGGCAACAUUUGAAAUCCUCGUAGAGAACAUGAAAAACCCGUGUUUCUGUGCACAGAUAUGAGGUCUGUGUUUUGUUUUGGAAGAAUAUUAGUUUUCCUUUGCAUUCUGCUGGGAUGUGAUUACACUGCCUCCAAAUGAGCGCUGCUCUGGGUGUCUGUCUGGCAUUAGUGAAAAUGGCGCAGAAAGUAGCUGUUUGAUGAUUCCCUUUUUAUUGCACUCACACCACAGACUGAUUUUUACCUUUUAAUGUGUCAUUAAGAGUUUCUGAAUGUACUGCAUCCUGUUAAAUUUGUUCAGUAAGCGAUUUAAAUAAUCUCCUGAUUCCAAUAAGAAGGUAAAUAUGUAUAGGAUUCUUCUCAUGUUUCCCUCAGAAGCUCCAGCUGAGGCUCGGUCUGUUGAGGUCAUUAAGACAGUGGGCCAGAGCAGCCUCCUGAUUGGCUGGGAGAGACCGGCGCUUGAUGAGCUGGGCUGCAGUAACGGCACGUUUGUGUAUGGAUACAGGAUUUUUGUAAAUGGCGACUUCCACAAAUCUGUUAUGAGUUCAGCGUGCACAAAGUGCAUUCUGGAGAACAUUGAUCUGUCUGCUCCAGUCCUCAUCAAAGUCCAAACUCUGGGCUCCAAUGGUCUCCGCUCAGACUGUGUCCACACCACAUACAGGAUGUCCGAACAAGACUGACUGUUUCCUGGUUACAGGUGGAACAGAUAAGCUGGUAAGUCACGAGUUAUUUACCACCCAUUUCUUUUGGGAUUGUUGUUUCACAAUCAAAACGGAUCGUUCUUAGUCAUCUCAUGAAUGACAUCUUUCUCGUCUUCUCGUCUGCCUGAAGAUUGUGUCGGUCUUUAAUAUUUCUGUCAAGCUGGGUUUAAGAAAUCAAAUCAAUCUUCAUUUGGAAAAUGUAACAGGCAUUUAUUAAAUCCAUGAAUUGUUUUUUGAAAGCACUUUAUGUAUUUUAGGCAAUAACAUAUUUUCUGUUCUAUUUUAAUAAAGAAAUUCAUUAUUUUUAGUGAAAAUUCCACCUUUUUAUAGUUUAAGUCACUACUUAUGUGAAAGCAGUUUUUUUCCAGGAUUUUAAGUUAAAAGGUGACAAAAUAAAUCAAUAUUUAAUUGAGUCAUGUUGAACGGGGAAUGAAUGGAUUCAGUGUUUUGACAUUAAUACUUUUCACUUUGUGGUUAAAAACGGACAUUUUUAGGUAUUUAUAGGUUUUGCCUUAAUUUUCCUCUGUAUUAGUGAUAACAGUUAUUUUAGCUUUCUGUCUUACUUUGUGUUUAGCCAAAGUGCCACCAAAGCCACGGUGUCUAGAAUGAGCAACCUGACGUCCACAACAGCUGAGAGACGAAGUCCCGGUGCUAGAAUCACUUCAUGCCAAUCAGGCAGAAAUGCUCCCGUCACUUGGUUUUUUAUAUUUCUGCUCAUGGACACGCAGCAACCUGCCUCUUGACCUCAAAAUGAUUACCUGCAGACAAAACUCAACCUCUGCACUCAAACAUGGUCUGAAUUUUGUUUUGUGUUUUUCACCACUCACAAGAAACUGUUUCAGUCCUCUUCAAUGACAAUGAAUGGAAGCAGCAAGAUGAAGAUACGUGGCACUUUCUGAUGAUUAGGAUAGUCGUAAAACCUGCAAAAAGAAAGUUCUAUUUAAAAAUACUCACUUGUGACCCCCGACAUCUACUGACAAGAAUUACGACGUGAAACGGCCUGCAUCUGCUGCACACCUCCACACUGUGUUCAAACGUAAAGAUUGUCCGUUGUGCUGUUUCAGCAAAGAGCCUCACUGCCGCAUCUCUGGACUUUACAACAGAGUCAAUGAAGGCGUUCCUUGUCUGCAUUGAAAGGUUGCUGCGCUCGAUUUUUACACAUGAAGCCAAAUAUGUGAUGGACGACUCACUCCAAAGACUCUUCUGGUAAAUGCCUAUAGGAUUUUAUGUAAAACACAGAUGUUGGAUUUAUCUUUGUUGUGAGAUUUGCACACAAUCAUAAAGGCUAUAAGAAGAAAUUUUAACAAGAGAGUAACUGAGGUAUUUUUUUUGUACAGAAUCUUUUAAAAAAUGCCAAUAUUUCACACACUGUACGUCUUUAUUAAGUGAACCUUUCAUACCUUCUAGAUGUCAAAUUGCACAUGUCGUUUUUAUUUUGUAUUUCAGAAAUGCACAGCACCUGUUCUAUAACUUUGUUGUUCACUGCAUGCAGGACUUUGAAGUGAUCACGAUGCAGCAGAAGUAUUUUUCUAUCAGUAACUGAUAUUGUUGGUUUCUCAUAGAUUCCCAUUAACUACACAGAAAAUAAAUGUUUAAUUAAUAACAAUGUUGUGCCUGGUUUCAUUUCUGCGUUUUUGUUUCUAAAUGUUUUUUUCUUCCUUGACUUUGAAAAAUGAAAAUGUUCCUCUUAUAAACACCAGAUGGCAGCCAGUUGGGUUGAAAACCGCUGGCUGUUCAAAGAGCA